CCUACGGGUGGCAGCAGUGGGGAAUAUUGGUCAAUGGGCGGAACCCUGAUCCAGCGACGCCGCGUGAGUGAAGAAGUACUUCGGUAUGUUAAGCUCUAUCAGCAGGGAAGAAAGAAAUGACGGUACCUGACUAAGAAGCCCCGGCUAACUACGUGCCAGCAGCCGCGGGAUUACGUAGGGGGCAAGCGUUAUCCGGAUUUACUGGGUGUAAAGGGAGCGUAGAUGGCGAUGCAAGUCUGAUGUGAAAGGCGGGGGCCCAACCUCCGGACUGCGUUGGAAACUGGAUGGCUGGAGUGCAGGAGAGGUAAGUGGAAUUCGUGGUGUAGCGGUGAAAUGCGUAGAUAUUAGGAGGAACACCAGUGGCGAAGGCGGCUUACUGGACUGUAACUGACGUUGAGGCUCGAAAGCGUGGGGAGCGAACAGGAUUAGAUACCCGGGUAGUC
rnacentral:rRNA from 1 species